UACGUAGGGGGCAAGCGUUGUCCGGAAUCAUUGGGCGUAAAGGGCGCGUAGGCGGUCCGGUAAGUCCGCUCUGAAAGUCCGGGGCUCAACCCCGGGAGGCGGGCGGAUACUGUCGGGCUAGAGUCCGGAAGAGGCGAGUGGAAUUCCUGGUGUAGCGGUGAAAUGCGCAGAUAUCAGGAGGAACACCGAUGGCGAAGGCAGCUCGCUGGGACGGUACUGACGCUGAGGCGCGAAAG
rnacentral:rRNA from 1 species